rnacentral:rRNA from 1 species
GACAGAGGGUGCAAACGUUGUUCGGAAUCACUGGGCGUAAAGGGUGCGUAGGCGGGUUUUUAAGUCAGAGGUGAAAUCCUGGAGCUCAACUCCAGAACUGCCUUUGAUACUGAAAGUCUUUGAGUAUGGGAGAGGUGAGUGGAACUGCGAGUGUAGAGGUGAAAAUUCGUAGAUAUUCGCAAGAAACACCAGUGGCGAAGGCGGCUCACUGGCCCCAUAACUGACGCUGAGGGCAC